rnacentral:tRNA from 1 species
GGGAAUGUGGCUUAGUGGUAGAGGGCUUGCCUGGUAUGCAUGAAGCCCUGGGUUCGAUUCCUCAGUACUA